rnacentral:rRNA from 1 species
UACGUAGGGCGCAAGCGUUAUCCGGAAUUAUUGGGCGUAAAGAGCUCGUAGGCGGUUUGUCGCGUCUGCCGUGAAAGUCCGGGGCUCAACUCCGGAUCUGCGGUGGGUACGGGCAGACUAGAGUGAUGCAGGGGAGACUGGAAUUCCUGGUGUAGCGGUGAAAUGCGCAGAUAUCAGGAGGAACACCGAUGGCGAAGGCAGGUCUCUGGGCAUUAACUGACGCUGAGGGGCGAAAGCGUGGGGAGCGAACAGG